rnacentral:rRNA from 1 species
AUUGAACGCUGGCGGCAGGCCUAACACAUGCAAGUCGAACGAGUGGCGGACGGGUGAGUAAUGUCUGGGAAACUGCCCGAUGGAGGGGGAUAACUACUGGAAACGGUCGCUAAUACCGCAUACCAUCGGAUGUGCCCAGAUGGGAUUAGCUAGUAGGUGGGGUAAUGGCUACACUAGUCGACGAUCCCUAGCUGGUCUGAGAGGAUGACCACCCACACGGGAACUGAGACACGGUCCAGACUCCUACGGGAGGCAGCAGUGGGGAAUAUUGCACAAUGGGCGCAAGCCUGAUGCAGCCAUGCCGCGUGUAGGAAGAAGGCCUUCGGGUUGUAAAGUACUUUCAGCGGGGAGGCGUUACCCGCAGAAGAAGCACCGGCGAACUCCGUGCCAGCAGCCGCGGUAAUUC